rnacentral:rRNA from 1 species
CCCUUAGAUGUUCUGGGCCGCACGCGUGCUACACUGAGUAAAUCAAUGGGUAAGGGAACACGAAAGUGCAACCUAAUCUUCAAAUUUGCUCGUGAUGGGGAUCGACGGUUGCAAUUUUCCGUCGUGAACGAGGAAUACCUUGUAGGCGCGUGUCAUCAUCACGCGCCGAAUACGUCCCUGCCCUUUGUACACACCGCCCGUCGCUCCUACCGAUUGAGUGAUCCGGUGAGGCUCUGGGACCUGGACGGAAAGAGCGUUUCGCUUGUUCUGUUUGGGAAACUUGGUCGAACCUUAUCAUUUAGGGGAAGGAGAAGUCGUAACA